GAUUAAAUGGCUGAAGUUUAGGCGAUAGACUGUAAAUCUAUCUAUAAGAAUUUAUUCUUUUUAAUCA
rnacentral:tRNA from 4 species